rnacentral:misc_RNA from 1 species
GAUGAAGAACGUAGCGAAAUGCGAUAACUAGUGUGAAUUGCAGAUUUCAGUGAAUCAUCGAGUCUUUGAACGCACAUUGCGCCCCUUGGUAUUCCGGGGGGCAUGCCUGUUCGAGCGUCAUUAUCACCCCUCAAGCUCAGCUUGGUGUUGGGGCCUGCCCGUCACAGGGCAGCCCUUAAAAGCAGUGGCGGUGCCAUCUGGCUCUACGCGUAGUAAUACUUCUCGCGACAGAGUCCCGGUGGUGUCCUGCCAGAACCCCCCAUAUUUUUAAUGAUUGACCUCGGAUCAGGUAGGGAUACCCGCUGAACUUAAGCAUAUCAAUAAGCGGAGGA